rnacentral:rRNA from 1 species
GAUGAACGCUAGCGGCAGGCCUAAUACAUGCAAGUCGAACGGUGUCUUCGGACAUAGUGGCGCACGGGCGCGUAACACGUAUGCAACCUACCUUACAUUGGGGGAUAGCCUUUCGAAAGGGAGAUUAAUACCGCAUAAGACAGUAGCUGGGCAUCCAGCAGCUGUUAAAGAUUUAUCGAUGUAAGCUGGGCAUGCGUCCAAUUAGCUAGUUGGUGAGGUAACGGCUCACCAAGGCAAUGAUUGGUAGGGGAACUGAGAGGUCAAUCCCCCACACUGGCACUGGGAUACGGGCCAGACUCCUACGGGAGGCAGCAGUAGGGAAUAUUGGGCAAUGGACGCAAGUCUGACCCAGCCAUGCCGCGUGCAGGAUGGAGGCGUUAUGCGUUGUAAACUGCUUUUAUACAGGAAGAAACGACUCUUGCGAGAGGCAUUGACGGUACUGUAUGAAUAAGCACCGGCUAACUCCGUGCCAGCCGCCGCAGUAAAAC